rnacentral:lncRNA from 8 species
CAAUCUUCCUUCAAGAGUAAACUUGUCAGUCUUAAGCCAUUUGAGCUUUCCUGGGGCAAAAGGAUUAGCCAACAUUCAGCUAACUUCAGUAUCACUGAAUGUAUUCUUUACAUCAUUGUCCUCUAUUCUGGAGCCAUAGUAUUUGGAACAGUAGGUGACUGAAACUUGAAUAUGAUACUAUAUUAUUUCAGAUUCAUAAGACAUCGGCUUACCUGAGGCAUUUUUCCAACUGGUUUCUUUGUUCAAUGUAAUUGUCUCAGUUCAGGAUUUUCAGGAUGUUCACAGCGCUACUAUGAUUUUGACAGCGGUACAGUACCUGUUAUAAUGAUUACUCGUAGGAGGUGUCAAAUAAGGUCUUAGCCCUUGGGCUUUUUGCAAUGAAAGUGUGGUUCUUUUUUUGUGGACGCAGUUAAACUUACAAUAGGACCAUAAAGCGUUUUCCCCCAACAAACUGUAACGAAAUGGAUGGGAGGCAGCUGAGAAAUGAACAUGUACAUGCUUAUGGAGGGAGACCAAUCUGGGACUGUAGCACCACAAUCUGGCCCGUCAUUU